CAGGGAGACAAACAAGACAUUGAUGUUUGAUCCAAUUUGUGAUCAAGCCGAUGUCCUGUCAUCUCGAAGGUCGAUCGGUACCUCAGGUUGUGAGUCAGAGAGCAGGAAGAAAUUCUUGAAGUGUCUGAUGAACAUCAUCAGUUCCUAAACGUUGUCUAGGUCACCCCGAGAGGGAAGCUCCUGGGCCAUUAGCUCAGGUGGUUAGAGCGCACCCCUGAUAAGGGUGAGGUCCCUGGUUCAAGUCCAGGAUGGCCCAUUCGUGUUUGGGGGUUUAGCUCAGUUGGUAGAGCGCCUGCUUUGCAAGCAGGAUGUCAGCGGUUCGAGUCCGCUAACAUCCAUAUCAACGUAGCCCCCUCAAGCAGAAACCGGAUCCGAGAAGGAGCAAGGAAUCUGUCGGCGUGAUCAAAACAAACAGGUGAGAGCUGAGGAGUUCAGCCUCCAGCCAUUCCCGAGAAGGGUUGGAUGGAUGCUGAAUUCAGCGUUGAGGGAGGCCAGGGCGUGAGUCCAGGCUGAACAACGCGGGAAUUCAGCAUAAGAACCUUGACAACUGCAUAGGUGAGUCUGGAAAGAAAGCAUCUCAUGGAUGUUCAUUUCUAGCAGACAAGCAAAGCGAGCAAUCGUGUUUCUUGUUUGGCUGAAAUGAAUGCUCUAUGAAGCGAUUCUAUUUGAAAGUAGAGCCGAGACCACAGACCGUCUUGCCCCUGACCGUUUGAACGGUUGAGGAGGUGAGUCAGACGGUGUUUUGAGUUUGCUGCCGAGAACGCUUGAGCGAUCAAGUUAAAGGGUAUUGAGAUCAAAGCACUGGAAUGAGUUUCAACAACUUAAACGGUUUGCUGGUUAAUAU
rnacentral:tRNA from 1 species